AUCCAGCUGACGAGUCCCUAGUAGGACGAAACGCGUGUCCUUGAU
rnacentral:hammerhead_ribozyme from 1 species